rnacentral:rRNA from 1 species
CAGUCGCCGCGGUAGUACAGAGGGUGCAAGCGUUAAUCGGAAUUACUGGGCGUAAAGCGCGCGUAGGUGGUUUGUUAAGUUGGAUGUGAAAUCCCCGGGCUCAACCUGGGAACUGCAUCCAAAACUGGCAAGCUAGAGUAUGGUAGAGGGUGGUGGAAUUUCCUGUGUAGCGGUGAAAUGCGUAGAUAUAGGAAGGAACACCAGUGGCGAAGGCGACCACCUGGACUGAUACUGACACUGAGGUGCGAAAGCGUGGGGAGCAAACAGGAUUAGAUACCCCAGUAGUCCCUGUCUCUUAUAC